GACGAACGCUGGCGGCGUGCUUAACACAUGCAAGUCGAACGGAAAGGCCCUGCUUUUGUGGGGUGCUCGAGUGGCGAACGGGUGAGUAACCCGUGAGUAACCUGCCCUUGACUUUGGGAUAACUUCAGGAAACUGGGGCUAAUACCGGAUAGGAGCUCCUGCUGCAUGGUGGGGGUUGGAAAGUUUCGGCGGUUGGGGAUGGACUCGCGGCUUAUCAGCUUGUUGGGGGGGUGGUGGCUUACCAAGGCUUUGGCGGGUAGCCGGCCUGAGAGGGUGACCGGCCACAUUGGGACUGAGAUACGGCCCAGACUCCUACGGGAGGCAGCAGUGGGGAAUAUUGCACAAUGGGCGGAAGCCUGAUGCAGCAACGCCGCGUGCGGGAUGACGGCCUUCGGGUUGUAAACCGCUUUCGCCUGUGACGAAGCGUGAGUGACGGUAAUGGGUAAAGAAGCACCGGCUAACUACGUG
rnacentral:rRNA from 1 species